AAUAUAUUUCCUCCGUCCGAAAAUACUCGUCAUCAAAAUGAAUAAAAAAAGAUGUAUCUAGACAUAUUUUAGUUCUUGAUACAUCCCUUUCUAUCCAUUUUGAUGACAAGUAUUUUCGGACGGAGGGAGUAUAUA
rnacentral:pre_miRNA from 1 species